UAGGGAAUCUUCGGCAAUGGGGGGAACCCUGACCGAGCAACGCCGCGUGAGUGAAGAAGGUUUUCGGAUCGUAAAGCUCUGUCGUUAAGGAAGAACGAGUGUGAGAAUGGAAAGUUCAUACUGUGACGGUACUUAACCAGAAAGGGACGGCUAACUACGUGCCAGCAGCCGCGGUAAUACGUAGGUCCCGAGCGUUGUCCGGAUUUAUUGGGCGUAAAGCGAGCGCAGGCGGUUAGAUAAGUCUGAAGUUAAAGGCAGUGGCUCAACCAUUGUAGGCUUUGGAAACUGUUUAACUUGAGUGCAGAAGGGGAGAGUGGAAUUCCAUGUGUAGCGGUGAAAUGCGUAGAUAUAUGGAGGAACACCGGUGGCGAAAGCGGCUCUCUGGUCUGUAACUGACGCUGAGGCUCGAAAGCGUGGGGAGCGAACAGGAUUAGAUACCCUGGUAGUCCACGCCGUAAACGAUGAGUGCUAGGUGUUAGGUCCUUUCCGGGACUUAGUGCCGCAGCUAACGCACUAAGCACUCCGCCUGGGGAGUACGACCGCAAGGUU
rnacentral:rRNA from 1 species